rnacentral:rRNA from 1 species
AUACGUAGGUGGCAAGCGUUGUCCGGAAUUAUUGGGCGUAAAGCGCGCGCAGGUGGUCCUUUAAGUCUGAUGUGAAAGCCCACGGCUCAACCGUGGAGGGUCAUUGGAAACUGGGGGACUUGAGUGCAGAAGAGGAAAGUGGAAUUCCAAGUGUAGCGGUGAAAUGCGUAGAGAUUUGGAGGAACACCAGUGGCGAAGGCGACUUUCUGGUCUGUAACUGACGCUGAGGCGCGAAAGCGUGGGGAGCAAACAGGAUUAGAUACCCUGGUAGUCCACGCCGUAAACGAUGAGUGCUAAGUGUUAGGGGGUUUCCGCCCCUUAGUGCUGCAGCUAACGCAUUAAGCACUCCGCCUGGGGA